rnacentral:lncRNA from 1 species
GGGGGCUCGUAAAAGGAAAUGGAUGUACAGUACCAGUCAAAAGUUUGGACACACCUACUCAUUCAAGGGUUUGUCUUUAUUUUUACUAUUUUCUGUAGCAAUGACCUCCAAUUAGAGAAAGCUGGUUGUUGUUGUCUCUAAUUAGAGGCCAUAUUUAGUUGUGUUCGUUUCACUUGUGUUUUGUGGGUGGUUGUUUUCUGUAUAGCCGUGUGCCUUACAGAACUGUUGAUUGUCGUUUGUUAUUUUUGUUUAAGUGUUCACUCUAAAUAAAUACACAAAGAUGAGCACUAUACCCGCUGCGUUUUGGUCACCUUUUAUCGACGCCUGUGACAGAACCACCCACCAAAGAAGGACCAAGCAGUGGAGGAAGGAGCAGCAGGAGAGCUAUUUGGAGUCAUGGACAUGGGAGGAGAUCCUCGAUGGUAAGGGUCCAUGGAGCCAGGCUGGGGAGUACCAGCGCCUGAAGGAGGAGCUGGAGGAAGCUAAGAGGGAACGACGGAGGUAUGAGGCAGCCCCAAAAUUAUUUGGGGGGGGGGAGGCAUACGGGGAGUUGGGCUAAGUCAGGGGGGAGCCCUGACCUAACUUCCCGGGCAUACAGGAGAGAGCCGUGGAGCAAAAAGGAGCCAGUCAAGGAAUCAAGCGAGGAGCUUGACGCGAGAUUCCGGAGAGAGGUACUGGCGGAAAGGCCACGAAGGAGCACCUGUGCUUACUAUGGGGAGCGACGGAUCAAGCAAGCACCAUGUUAUGCGGAGAUACGCACGGUAUCGCCAGUGCGCAGCUACAGCCCAGUGCGCUUGGUGAAAGCUCCUCACAGGUGUCAUGCUAGAGCCAGCAUCGAGCCAGGACAGGUGAUGCAAGAUGCAAGCAUCAGACCGCCGGUGAGGGUUCAUGGCCCAGUGUAUCCUGUUCCUGCUCCUCGUACUCUUCCUCCAGUGAGUCAGCCCAGUCCAGUAUGUCCUGUUCCUGCUCUCUGCACUAGCCUUGAGGUGCGUGUUACUAGUCUAGCGCCUCCAAAGUCAGCCCCACGCAUCAGGCCUCCAGUGUGUCUGCCCAGUCCGGUAUGUCCUGUUCCUACUCCUCGCACUAGCCCUGUGGUGCGUGUUACUGUUCUGGCUCCUCCAAAGCCAGCCCCACGCUUCAGGCCUCCAGUGCGCCUGCCCAGCCCAGUACGUCCUGUUCCUCGCACUAGCCCUGUGGUGCGGGUUACUAGUCUGGUGUCUCCAAAGCCACCCCCACGCAUCAGGCCUCCAGUGUGUCUGCCCAGUCCGGUACGUCCUGUUCCUGCUCCUCGCACUAGCCCUGUGGUGCGGGUUACUAGUCUGGCGACUCCUAAGCCAGCCCCACGCAUCAGGCCUCCAGUGCGCAG